AAUGGGGCCGGGGGAGGGGAGCGCGGGAGAGACGACGCGGCCAAGAUUCCGUGUAACAAUCUCAUCAAACCCGGCGCGUUCCCUUCGCUAUUGGAGAAGCAAUUUCUCCUCUGAUGUAAACAUUUUUUUGAAAUGAUGAUUCCGGGCUGAGUGGUACCUGGGAGCCGCCGCCAGGCUUUCCUCCAACUCCCUCUGGUCCUCAGAUGGAGGCAGGACGGGCCUGUAACCAUGGCGAUCCUCUGCUGUUCUGCCAUAAACCGUGAAGGUGGGAGUCUUCAUCACAGCCUCUACCGGGGGAAAGCGAAGCCCUCCACGACUGGGGUGGGGCAGACGGUGGCCUCUAGGGUGGCCUGAGGACAGGGGAAGAGAAGAGGAGACUUAGAACUUUUCUCCGUGGAGAUGAACUGCAUUGAACACUGCUGUGUCCAGAGCAAGGCUCCGGCAUUUCAGCAAGGGUGUUCACCAUCUCUGGCCAUCAUCCCCACACUCCAUACUGAGAAUUCCUCUAGAUGCCCCUGGACACCAGUCACUUUGGUCAUCAGCAACAGAAGGGCCUACCAUGCUGCCUUGGUUUCCCAGGGUGACCGAGAACGGGUGGGUCUGAAGAGCACUCUUGCCGCUAAUCUCCAGGCUGUCGGCUUCAUCUGAACCGUUUGGAGUCUGGAGGCUUCAAGUCACCUGCAGAGGGAAUUCAGAUCCUCCUCCAGAGAAAGGGACAGCAUGUGGGCCCCCGGCAGCCAUCCCUUGGCAUUUCUACUGACCCUGGGGCUGCCACGCUGGGCUCUGUUGGUGCUGUGUGGUUUUGCAGUUGCCAACAGGCCCUGCUGAUUUCUGAUGAUCUCAAGCCGCGGUGCCCGCCUCCUCUCCUCCCCCCACCACCAGCCUUUCCCAUCCAUGCAGAGUGUUCUCAUGACUGUCCCAGCCGAAAGCAGAGAACUGUUUCCCAUUCAUCUUUGUGUUCCUAGGGCCUGGCUGAGUGUGGGGGUCCUGAUACUGCUUGGAUGAAGUGACCUCUGGAAUCAUGUGGGGAUUCCAGUGUUCUCUGGAUUCUCGUUAUUCAGUAUUAUUUGAGCCUUUGCAGAGCUGGGGUUCUGAGGGUGAGUCCUAUCUGGGCCACUGCUCAGCUUCAAGUUUACAAUAUAAAAGAACCCAACAUUGGCCAUCAUUUCAGAUCUGAAAUUUCUUGCUCUUGGUUGGUGAACUGAGGGUUGUUUCCUUUUUAACCUCUUCCUUUUACCUAAGAAGUUCCUUCCCUUCAAAGUAAUCCUUGACUCUCAUGGACAAAAUGUGUUAUUCCCUCCCUUAGUCCCAAGAUCUGUGAGUCAUAUCAAAUUAUACCUCUAUGGAUCCAUUUAUUGGAUUCAGAAUUCCUUGACAAUGGAGACUGUCAAAUUCAUUGUGGUAGCCUUGUGUGUGUGUAGUGGUGUACACAUGCAUGCAUGUGUGUGUGUAUAUGGUAUGGGUGACACACACACACACACACACACACACAUACAUUCACAGACAUGUAUAUUGUGGCUGUUGGUAAAGAGCCAACAGUUCACGUGCUGCAGGGAUGGGGUUGUCCCCUCUCUAUCCACACCCUGUGCUAUGUCACUUUGCAUUUCCUCUCACUAAGGUGGAUUCUACUUCCUGCCCUUGACUUUGGGUUUGGCUAUUGGACUUGCUUUGGCCAAUGGGAUGGAUACAUGUGACAUGAUGCAAUAGAGGCUCUUGUGCUCUUGUGAUGGGGACUUGCCCUCUGUGCUUUCACUGUCACCUGACUUGCCCCUGACUCAGGAUGAGGAUGGGAAACGCUGGAGUGGAGCUGCCCCAGCCAACCUGCAAACUUUUCAGCGAAAAAUAAAUGCGUAUUGUUGGA